AGAGGACGACGAGUAGCGAGCGUGGGCUCAGACGCCGACCAGGCGCCCGGCACUGGUCGGGCCGCCUUCCUGGCAGAGCCGCUCCCUGGGACAGGCACGGGCCUCAACAGAGAGUGGAAUAAAGAGGAGCGGCCGCAGCCACUGCGCGAGGAGGAUGGGAACUCCCCUAUUUCCAGCACUGUAACAAACGGAUGGAAAUCCUGAAUGGAGAAACCGCUGACUUCAUUUGCUUGGGAAAAUCGUCCAGAGGAACUCAAAUUUGUCUACUCUGAGCAGUGGAGGGGGUGUCCAUGACGUGGCAGGGGGAAAAUAGACAACCGAAACCUCCUGUGUGAAUUGCAAACUGUGACCAAGCAAGGGAAAAAUGAUUUCUCUCUGUAUUUUAAUUCCAUCCAAAGGGUUUCAAGCAUCUGUACCAUAAACUUACUUCUAUGUCUUGUACCCACUUCAGCAGAAACCAGAGGAGUCCUGUCUGGGGGCCCCAUCAUUAUCCAGGAGACCUGCCGCCAGCGGCCUGCUUUCCUUUACCCACCUCUCUCUGGAUCGGAUGUCUGUUUGGGGUACUACAUCUAUCCUAUAGAACUAUGGUCAAAUUUCUAUGAAUUUCUGGGACUUAACUCCUGGAACCUACAUGUGGGGCUGGGAAUUAUGCCCAAUGCUUCUAAAGAAAUGACAUUUUAAACUGUUUUUUUUAAAUACCUUGGUGUUCUUAAACCCGUAAAACAGGAUUUGAUAGGCUUACAAACAUGACAGGUAAGAACUUUCUCUCUUUCUAGUCUCUUAACGACUGUCGCAGAGGAGGCCGAAUCAGAGCAGGACCCAGGAGGAAGGAGAGCCCAGGGACCCGUGUGCCCUUCGGGGCUCCCGGGCUCGGCCGGGUGACUGCUAUCGGGAGAGGCGCAGCCCUGGUUCCUGGACCACAGACCAGCCACUGGGGAAGCUUCUGGGGCGCGCGAGGGUAGGCGGUGUUGCGCUCCACCUGCCCUGCCCGGGACGCAACGCUGGUGCGAGGCGUCGAGGGACGAACCCAAAUCAAUAUUGGGAUUUUUAAUAAACCAAGGAAUGGGAUUUUAAUUAUUCAAAACCCAGCUUCUCUGGACCAGAUGCUGUUGGGAUGGUCCUGGUCACACAAUAUUAAAGAGACCGAUCACUAAGAGGACGAGAAGAGUGUCUGAGACAUCCCUUGCAAUUACGAAUAAACCAGACUUGGUAGCAUGGGGCAUUGAUUGCUGGUGCCCAACCGGACCCUCCUCCCCUCUCCCGGUUCCUCCCCCACCCCACACGAGGCAGGCUCCCGCGGCGGCCGGGACCUCACGUCCCCGCAUCGUGGCCAGGGCUGCAUUUUUCAUGAGCCCAGGGUGAACAGGUGCGAAGUGCGCUGGGAGCAUCCGGCCAACGGCCGGGCACCGGGAACAUGGAGAGCGAGCGCGACAUGUAUCGUCAGUUCCAGGACUGGUGCCUUAGGACUUACGGGGACUCAGGGAAGACCAAGACGGUGACCCGUAAAAAAUACGAGCGGAUCGUCCAGCUCCUCAACGGCUCCGAGUCGAGCUCCACGGACAACGCCAAAUUUAAAUUCUGGGUCAAAUCGAAAGGCUUCCAGCUGGGCCAGCCG
rnacentral:lncRNA from 1 species